ensembl:lncRNA
UGCAUGUAUAAAGACAUUUUCAAUGGAUCGCCGAUUUCACGAGUCACCAUGGAAACUCAAAGCGAAAAAAAGAGAGCGGCGUAUUUCACAGAGGCGGAGUUGGAAGUUUUAAUGCAUGCUUAUGAGGAGUUUAAGCCAAUAAUAUUAAAAAGAAGCAAUACAGCUGCAUCGGCUAAAGCAAGAGAGUUGGCUUGGCAAAAAAUAACGGACAGAGUAAAUGCGUGAGUGUAUUAAAUUACAAAUUUGGUAUUGCCUCCCGUUUUAUUGAAAUGCAAAAUAAUGAAGUAUGACUUAUACAUCCUUUUGAAUAUAUUAAAUCACUAUGAAAGCAUUUACUUUUCCUGCCAUUUAUUUCUUUAGCUUGAAAUAAUAAUGUAUAUUUCUUAUUUAAUAAGGUGUAAUCCUUCUGGAGCCACAAGAACUUUAAGCCAAGUCAAAAUGAAACACAAAAACAUUCUGCAAAAAGCUAACAGAAAGAAGACUGAAGCCCGUCUAACUGGCGGGGGGCCACCACCACCUCCCCUCACCCCAUCUGAGGAGCUGGCUCUGUCCCUUAAUAAAGGGCGACCAGUGGUUGCUGGCAUUCCAGGGGGCAGUUCAUCACAUACUAUGCACCACAAGUGAUGGUGAAAAAAGGGUGAAAUGUAAGUUUACCUCUAUGAUUUGUUUUCAUUUUUUGUCCUGAUAAAUUACUAUCUCUGUCACUUAAAGGCUUUUUGAACAAGAUUAAUUUUUUAUGUAGGCUUAUUUUAUUUAACUGCAUAUGAUGUAUUAUUUUCUUUGAUAAUAUUGAGAAUUUAACGGGUUGUGUGUUCUUAUAGAUACUGAUGGACGGAUUGUAUUAUUGGACUCUCCAGAAAGAACACAGUCUGUCACAGUUGAUGAAGAUGAUGAUGACGAUGAAGAGACCACAUCUGCUGUGACAGAAGUGGACAAUGCUGGUAGAUCCACUGAGGUAUGAUGCAUACCAUUAUGAUGUAUGGCCCCUUUUUGCAUUAGAGUAACAAACUGUCAUUGUCCUUUCAUAGUACAUACCUAGGGAUUUGCCCACAGAUGAGGGUCCUUCAGCCUCAGCACACAAUCUAAGCAGGGUAAGAAUUUGUGUCCAUGUGUCCAUAUUUGAAUUUUAUUGUCUGACCAAACAAUCUCAUUUAUUACAUUUUUUCACCUUAGUUGCCAGCAAAGGAGCUGUAUAAGGUCCAUCUUCAAAAACAAAUAAGAAAAAGUGACAUGGUGAUGGACCUUAUACAGCUUGAAAUGGAAGAGAAAAGGCUCCUCAUUAAAAAAAGCAGCACUUGAAAUA